rnacentral:lncRNA from 1 species
GGGUUCGUUAGUUCAUAAUAAAAUACAAGUGACUGUUGAAUUAACCUGAGCCAGGCAUGCAUGACUAGUCCUAGUUAGCUGGGUUAGUUAUCGUCACACUAUUUUUAUCAAUAUUCCAGAAUUUAAAAUAAUUCCAGAUUCAAUAAUUCCUUGUUUGGAGUCGACUACAAUUAUUAUUCACACCUGUCUUAAAAAAUUAUUUUAUUGUCAAUAUUUGAAAUGAUAUGCUCUGCUUGAAACAGCAUUAUCCGGCCACAGAGUUCGAUUCUGAACAGUUGGGGUAAGUAUGACCACUACAUUCUAGCUAGAUACAGCUCUGAAUUUGGAUUUUAAUCAAAUAUUUGACUCAUCAUAGGAUUUGUCACAUAAUGAAUGUGGUCAAAGAAAUGAAAAAUUUAGAAUUUAAACUUUUACCUAUUAUGGUUCGAUAUUGAAAAUCUAGAUACAUGGUUCGAUUCAGUAUUUCCAAUAACACUAAGAAUUGAAUCUAUCUAUUUAUUAAUGUAAAAUAUU